UUCAAAUAAAAUGUAUUUUCGAUGUCCAGAAGCCAAACACACAAUCCUAAUCAUAUUAACAACCCAUCCUAGUUGUUAGGUCUUCCCUCUUUUAAAAUUUCUCACAAAUAUUAGUGUCUCUGUCACAUGAAACCAUUCGCAUUUGAGGUGCCGGUGCGCUUUAAGAAACAGUUUUCCUGGUGGUUGCAUUUUUGGGACAUCCGUGCGUAGCCUAUAUGUACGCGAUUGCUGCACUUAUAAUGUGAACAAACAAUAGUUAGUCAACAUUUAAAGCUAAACAUUUUGAUCUGUUGUAUCUGCUUCAUGGGUGCUGCUUUUUAACAUCUACAGGGUUUGUAUAGAAUUUGAAUUUUUCGUCACAGAACUGUCCUAGUCUGUUUUGAACAGCUCAUUACAUAUUUUUUUUAUUAACCCCGGGAUGAUAAAACCUGCUUCACCCGAUGUAGUAUGGAUCUGCUAUUUUCUUUACUUUAGAACCAGAACCCCCAACAGAAGCUAGCCAGCUAACUAGUGUUAGUGUUCAAAUACUGGAGAGUUGAGACCAAAUCACGGACGCUGGACAGAGUGGAUUUCAGUUGUAACGAAAGACAGUUUUAAUGAGUCAGAGAUAUCUUGUCCCGCAGUUUUACGUGCACGGACCUAGUUCACAUAACUCGGCAAGGAGCCAGGUGAAAAAGAGGCCUAUACAAUGGUUACAUACAUUUUUAUACAUAGAAUAAAGUAGGUGGAGUCUUGUCGUUUCGGUCUUCUUGACUGGUCGGAGGGUUGGAGGCGGGCCUUGCUCUAGCCAGAGCGGGCCCCAUUGGUGCACAGCAAAAGUGCUUUGCUCUUGGGACCGGCCAGUUAGAGGGAGAUGAGAUGUGUGUUUAUAUAAGGAAGAGGGGGUCAGUCUUAUGGCUGGGUGUAUGUGUUCUUACGACGGAAUGUCUUUGUUUAUAUGAGGAAGAGGGGGUCAGUCUUAUGGCUGGGUGUAUGUGUUCUUAUGACGGAAUGUCUUUGUUUAUAUGAGCUAUGUGUAUGAAUAUUUAUAUAACACUAGCUACUAGCUAGUAGUCAUCUAGCCACUGCUAGUGGUCAUCAGCUAACCUUUAGCCCUGAAAACUGCCAGUCUGCACAGCGAGAUUCAACCCAGAGCUUACCGGACUCUUUUUCCCCACAUCUCCGGAGUCCUACCGCAAGCUCUGAACCUUUUCACUUGGAUCAUCGCAGCUAGCUAGGUGCUAUACGAGUGGCUAACGUCUCUGUCCCGAAGGAAGCACCAAUUAGCCUGGAGAUAGCCCAUGCAAGGCUCAUCUCCCGGCUGGCUGAAGAGGUCCAUAAGCCACUCCUUGGGCUACAAUACCUAUUUUGCCAAUUGACCUGGAUCCCUUUUACUGCCGAUACGGAGCACCGCCGAUCCUUCACGACUGGUCUACCGACGUAAUCCGCCUGAGGGGAUUCUCAACAGGCUCCUCCGUCGUGAUGUCCCCUGAAUGCCCACCUGCUAACCAGCUAGCCGCGGCAUGCUAGCUGUCUAGAGCAUAUCAGACUGUUAGGUGAAGAGGUCCAUCAGCAAAUUUUCUUGGGCUACAAUACCUAUUUUGCCAAUUGGCCUGGACCCUUUUACUACACGGAGCCCUGCCGAUCCAUCACGACUGGUCUGCUGACGUAACUGCCCAAAGGGGCUGCAACUGACUCUCCGUCGUGACAUCCCCUAAGGCCUUUCUACUGGCCAGCUAUCCCCGACCCGCGAGCUGUCUGAAUUGCUGUGUCUCCAGCCCGG
rnacentral:lncRNA from 13 species